CUGAUCUACUACAUCAAUUUCUGAACUUCUAUGAUAGCUCAUGAUCUAUCAUGUUAGUCUGUAUACUGCUACGCUAGCUUAUGCUCUAUCACUUUAGUUUUUAAACUACUACUCCAACUCCUAAUCUAUCAUCAUGUCAACUUUUGAGCUACAAUAUCAGCUUUUAGUUUACUACAUCUGAGCUGCUACUUUAGCUUCUGAUUUUUCACAUUAGCUUCUAAGUACAUCUGUAAUCUGAUUUUCAAACACAAGUUGGCAUCUGCAGUACUAUCUUGAGUUUGAGGGGGGGUGUUAGCAUGAUUUAGGUGAUCACAUAAUUUUAUGGAUUAUAUGAUUUUAAUGAUCGCAUGAUUUUAGAUGAUCAUAUGAUUUUAGAGAUCGCAUGACAACUCAUAUUGGCUCAUAAUAUUUUUUCUUUGUUAACAUGAGUGUACUAGUAUAUAUAACCCAUGAGAUGUAUCAAAUAUGAUUUGAACCGAAAUAUAAAGGAUAUUUUCUCUCUCUUUCUUCAGUUAUUCUGCAAAUAUUUUAACACGUACAGAUGAUUGAACCAUUUAUAACUAUAACAUGCACAUCAUUAAUACAUGCAGUAAUUUACAUCAGAACAUAGGAACUUUUGUUUUGGAUGGUCAGCAAUGUAUGACAUCCUCCAACCAAGGUG
rnacentral:lncRNA from 1 species